GGGGUUAACCGGGAAUUUGCAACUACCCAAACCCAAUGUGAACGUUACCAAACUGUUGCCUCGGCGGGGUCACGCCCCGGGUGCGUCGCAGCCCCGGAACCAGGCGCCCGCCGGAGGAACCAACCAAACUCUUUCUGUAGUCCCCUCGCGGACGUAUUUCUUACAGCUCUGAGCAAAAAUUCAAAAUGAAUCAAAACUUUCAACAACGGAUCUCUUGGUUCUGGCAUCGAUGAAGAACGCAGCGAAAUGCGAUAAGUAAUGUGAAUUGCAGAAUUCAGUGAAUCAUCGAAUCUUUGAACGCACAUUGCGCCCGCCAGUAUUCUGGCGGGCAUGCCUGUCCGAGCGUCAUUUCAACCCUCGAACCCCUCCGGGGGAUCGGCGUUGGGGAUCGGGACCCCUCACACGGGUGCCGGCCCCGAAAUACAGUGGCGGUCUCGCCGCAGCCUCUCCUGCGCAGUAGUUUGCACAACUCGCACCGGGAGCGCGGCGCGUCCACGUCCGUAAAACACCCAACUUUCUGAAAUGUUGACCUCGGAUCAGGUAGGAAUACCCGCUGAACUUAAGCAUAUCAAUAAGCAGGAGGAA
rnacentral:rRNA from 1 species